rnacentral:lncRNA from 1 species
CUAGAAGAUAUCAAAGACAGCAUCAUUUUUUUUUUUUCACGUAACCAGUAUAAGAAUGCGGAUAUUACAACGUAGCGGUUCGUUACGACGUACAGCCAAAUGGGGGAACGAGACAAUUUAGCGCCUUUUUAAUACUACUGAACAUCGUAUGAGUACUGGUAUGCUGUUCCGUAACCAACAGGCUGGUCUGCCAUUUGGAAAGUACAGAUGGGGACACUACAAGGACAGACACAACACCACAAUGGGGACACAAAACAUAAACCGAAUGACAAUGAGAUGUUAUAUAAUGAAGAAAUGAAAUGGCUGCAUGGGCCCUAUGCAUCGAGGACUGAAAAUAAAACUCGUGUAAGUCAGAAAGGUUUUAGACAAUGUCAAAGGGCUAGUUCAAAUUUGGAUAUGGUGUUUCCUACUCUACGUGGACGCUAGACAGUCUAUGGAUAGCAGAGUGGCUUCUUUGAUAAAGAAAUUUAGCGUAUAAAUGCGAAGAGGGCAACCAUGAUGACAGGACUGUAUUACAAACAAGAAAUUCUACACUACUGAUGCGACACUCUGAUAGAACAGAGCUUAAAUGUUUUAAGUCUCCUGUAGCGGAAUCUUAAUUUUCUAUUUCAAGUUUAGCACCUGUCUUUCGUCUGACCUCAUCUACUUCAGGUAGGAGCGCCUGUGCAUAAAAUCUAUACGCCAGGUUGUGCAUGAACAUUUAAACAUUCCGCCAAUAAAUGCAUGAUAUGCUA